AGCACGCGCAAAUGGUUCGAUUCGAGUCGCAGUUGUAUCAGUUUUAACAAAGUUUUGUCAGAUUUAUCCAACAACUAGCUUAAAUUGUAUCACAACUGAGAUGUCCUAGUUCAAUGUGAACAAAUAUAGAACAUCCCAAAGGAAAGAGUGAGUAGAAAUAGCCAGACAUAAUUGAGACGUGUGCGUGAUUCUGUUCUAAGGUGUGUGCAGCCUGUUUCUUUCGGUAUUCCGGUGAUGUUGCGGAAGUGAAGGCUAAAGUGCGCCCCAGUGGGCCAGUGGACUUGCCCCAAGAAGAAAAUGGGUUCACCAAGCCAACCUAGGACGUCUCGUUGGAAGAGAGCAUUUUCGAAAGCAACUCAACUGAAUCUACAGGCGGAAACCAAAAGGCUGACCAGUUGCCAGACAGUUUGUACGACAAAUCAACUGAGCCGCAAAUUAUUUUCGUGCUAUUUUUGUUAUCCAGGAGCCCAAUUGAGAUGCGAAUGGUUUGAGCUGCGGUUGAGUUCGGGAGGAGCCUACACGAAAUGGAAGAUCAAUUGUUCUUGGCAGACCUCAUCAGUUCGACAUCGCUUUAAGACUUAUUAUCAUAUAAGUAUGAACAUUCGACCUUUAUUUCAUAAGAAUUUACUGGGCAUACGGAUGUGUCUUUAUUCAUUUUUCAUUUAUAAACUUUUCACUUUAAUCUGGAAAUCGAUUGCAGUAAUAUUACAACCAACCAUGUAUCUAUUAGGAUAGAGAACAAAAUGCUUUAAGCCCAGUGACCAGUAGGAUGUAUAUUAAUGGCCAAUAGGACGGUGCGAUGGGCAUUUUAAGAGUACUGCACACGGUCCGUGCUAUUAAUCAAAUGAAAAUAAAAAAUAUCUAUGCGCUGCCCAAAAACGUUAUCACGAGGCCUAAUAAUUUGUAUUAAUAGUAUUUGUAAAUCAAUUGCCAUUGCGAACCAUUUGCGAGCAAUUAUUUAUUUAUGGCCAUAAAUAUUAUCCUCUUUGAAAUUUGCAUUUGGAACCGCUCUCCCUCGACUGGUCUCCUCUGGGCGGCCUUAAUCCAAAACCAUGCAUUCAAAAUUGUUAUUAUUGAAUUUUAAUUAAUUUAACAAAUAAUGGCUACAGCGGCACAAAAAGACAAACAAACGAGCUUGUGUCAAACUUGAGUAAGGAAUUGCAAAAUACUCUACAAUUCCCCGAGAAUCGAACAAAAUCAAACAAAUUCAAAUACUCACUAACGAAAAUACUAUAUUUUGUAACAAAUAUUGGUC